rnacentral:rRNA from 1 species
GACGAACGCUGGCGGCGUGCCUAAUACAUGCAAGUCGAACGAGAGCGACCGGUGCUUGCACUGGUCAAUCUAGUGGCGAACGGGUGAGUAACACGUGGGUAACCUGCCCAUCAGAGGGGGAUAACAUUCGGAAACGGAUGCUAAAACCGCAUAGGUCUUCGAACCGCAUGGUUUGAAGAGGAAAAGAGGCGCAAGCUUCUGCUGAUGGAUAGACCCGCGGUGCACUAGCUAGUUGGUGAGGUAACGGCUCACCAAGGCCGUGAUGCAUAGCCGACCUGAGAGGGUGAUCGGCCACAUUGGGACUGAGACACGGCCCAAACUCCUACGGGAGGCAGCAGUAGGGAAUCUUCCGCAAUGGACGCAAGUCUGACGGAGCAACGCCGCGUGAGUGAAGAAGGUGUUCGGAUCGUAAAACUCUGUUGUUAGAGAAGAAUAAGUGCUAGAGUAACUGUUAGCGCCUUGACGGUAUCUAACCAGAAAGCCACGGCUAACUACGUG